CCUUGCGACGCGCGCGUGGUGCGCGAGCUCCUCCGGUCGACGGGGCUCGGCGAGGGCGAGGGCGAGCCGCGCGUCGUGCACCAGUUCCUGGACCUGGCCUAUCGCUACGUCGGGGACGUGCUCGGCGAUGCCCAGGUCUACGCCGACCACGCAGCCAAGCCCCAGCUCGACGCCGACGACGUUCGUCUCGCAAUCCAGGCUAGGGUCAACUUCUCCUUCUUCCAGCCGCCGCCACGCGAGGGACGCUGCUGGUAAUUUAGCAGCCAUCUUACAGUUGAAAUUGGAAAUGAGACUACUCAGGUUCUUGAUGAGUUGGCUUUACUCUUUAGAUAUAUUAGGUACAUUAUCGAUAACUUUUCUUAGAUUUUAAUGCUCUUCAUGGGAUGGUUCAUGUCGAGUAAUCGCAUGGAAGGGAGAUGAUCUGUUAUAGCUUCUAGACCGGAGGGUAUGCCUUUGGCCAGGAUGCGCUAGAGGGCUAACAAGGUAUCAGCAAGGAGGCACUGUAUCCAGCGCAGAUCAGAAUGGUAACCGGGUAGUGGGGAAUAGAAAUUAGGGGAAGACUUGUCGAUUAAAUGAAUGCGUUCCACAAUAAGCACACAUCAAUCAAAGCUUCAGACAUGGUGGUUAGAAGGCACCAUCUGCAACAGCAGAGAUUGCGGUUUUGAGUGCUUGAGCUUACGAAAUGUCGUUUUCUUGUACACUUAUAGCCAUUUGAGGGACCAACAUAUCAGUCAGUGUCAUACUGAAAUUAUAAGGAGAAAAGAACAAGAAUACUUAUUACGAAUGUUCAGCUGAGCCCAUGUCUUGUUUGGAAAGUUGAAUGCUUAUAUACUGAAGGGUUCAAAAUUUUAGGAAUUAUGUGCAGCUAGUUCCAUAUAAACAAUGUAACAUUUGAGAAGCAAGCAAGAAGUUAAUAACCUCUUCUGUUAGCGCAGAGAUCCCGCUUGUACUGUAAGCAGACGCCUUUACUGUUGGACUUGGAAACAAGAAUACUCGGUGUCUUUAUUACUCUCUCCAUUCCUAAAUGUAUGUCUUUUUAGAGGUUUCAACAAGGACUACAAAAGAAUGUAUAUAGCCAUAUUUUAGUGUAUAGAUCCGUUCAUUUUGCUCCGUAUGUAGUACCCACUGGAAAAUGUUACAGCUUGCUUGCUGAUGCUUGUGCCCUUUGUGCCUAGCGCCCUGCUAUUUCACAAUGAAAAAUGCUGGUUACUGAGGGAAGGAAGCAGCCUUGCAAAUAGUGUGAGGUGUCCUGUAGGAAAUUAAUUAACCUGAGAGUUGCACGUAGUAGAGAUGAAUAUUUACUGUCAGAUGCACUCAUUUUGUUUUUAGAACAGUGUGUGUAAAGAUACCUU